CUAUGUAAAUCUCCACAGUUCUCUCUCUGUGCAGCCCUCUUCUCUCUGUCAGUCUGCCUUGAUGAUUCUAGUCACCUUGGCCUACAUAAACUUUGAUAUCUUGCUCUUAAAUUCAGCAAAUCAUGAUAUUCUCUCUCGGAUUGUCUCAUACCAUGCUGGAGGCUGGAAAUCACUUUCAGUCCAUUUCAUAUACAAGGAAAUGCAGUUACUCCGAGGACAAUUCAGCUAGCCAAGAGUCCCUGUACAGUGAGCAAUCUUUUGGGUCUUCUCAUCACUGAAGAAUUUCUAUGUGGACACUAAAGUAAUAUUAAAACCACUCACUCUCACUGGUAAUUUACAGAAUACAGUUUUAAUAAACAGCAAUAUUGACAACAAUAGCAAUGAUGAAACCUCUGAGGUGAGAGAGAAUGUUAAUUUUAGCAAAGAGUGUCUUGUCAUCUGGACAAGGCUUACCAGUUCCUAGCCUCUAGUUUGUAUACAUUUAUGCAAUCAUUUUGAAUAUUUACUCCCUGUAUGCUGGUAGAAACAUCAGUGUCAGGACAUUACAUGUGAAGGAAUAAUUCAACAUUUAAGUUUUUAAGAGUAUAUUUUUUUCAGAUCUUGUUCCCCAAAGUUAAACAUUGUGGUAGAUUGAGACAUUCAUUAUUAAAUAUCUUACAGAAAACAAAGGAAAUCGUAACAUCUUAUUUACCAUCAUUAAGAGAAACCUGAAGGCCAAUUACUCAUUGAAUGGCAGGCAACACAAUUACAUUAUUGUAUAGAAUCCUCAGGACUGUAUUAAAAAAUUAUGAGAAGGAGUUUACACAGGUCAGCCUAUAAAACUACUCUAUAAUUUCUAUCUGUAAAUUGAAAUAGAAAAGAAAUAAGAUUGAAUUAAAUAUGAUAAUAGUAAAUUUCAUGUCUAAGUGUGCUAAACUAGCUGGCCUUUCCUAUUCUUGAAUAAAAUUAUUCUGGUUGCCAUAAUGCAUCCCGAAGCUUACCUAGAUGAGGAGAAAUUCGAAGUAUUCCAACGUCUGCCCUCAUGAAUAGAUCAAGCCUUGGGGGAAACCAGUGAUCUCUUGGCAACAGGACCAGAAGGUACGUAAUCUCUUGUUUUAAUUAUAUUUCAUCUGCUGAAAAAUUGCUUAUCUCUCUGAGAUUUAUCUUAGAGAUGACUGAAAGUAAUUUUGUGACCUUCACAUUGUCCGUAUUUAAGUUAGAUAACUGAAAAUUUGGUGAGCAUCCGAAAACCUCAAGUAUGUAUGGAGAUUAAGAUUUCCAACUCUGAAGAAAAACUGUCAGGUUCAAAUCUUGGUCCUGUUCACCUCU
rnacentral:lncRNA from 10 species